UACGAAGGGUGCAAGCGUUACUCGGAAUUACUGGGCGUAAAGCGUGCGUAGGCGGUUUGUUAAGUCCGCUGUGAAAGCCCUGGGCUCAACCUGGGAAUUGCAGUGGAUACUGGCAAGCUAGAGUGCGGUAGAGGAUGGUGGAAUUCCCGGUGUAGCGGUGAAAUGCGUAGAUAUCCGGAGGAACACCAGUGGCGAAGGCGACUUUCUGGCCUGUUCUUGACGCUGAGGCGCGAAAGCUAGGGGAGCAAACGGG
rnacentral:rRNA from 1 species